CCAGCACCCCGAGUGGUCGGGACGAUUAUUGGGCCUAAAGCAUCCGUAGCCGGUCAUGCAAGUCUUCCGUUAAAUCCAGCCGCUCAACGGUUGGGCUGCGGAGGAUACUACGUGGCUAGGAGGCGGGGAGAGGCAAGCGGUACUCAGUGGGUAGGGGUAAAAUCCUUUGAUCCAUUGAAGACCACCGUGGCGAAGGCGGCUUGCCAGAACGCGCUCGACGGUGAGGGAUGAAGCUGGGGAGCAACCGG
rnacentral:rRNA from 1 species